UACGGGGGGGGGAAGCGGUGUUCGGAAUUACUGGGCGUAAAGGGCUCGUAGGCGGCCAACUAAGUCAUACGUGAAAUCCCUCAGCUUAACUGGGGAACUGCGUGUGAUACUGGAUGGCUUGGAUUUGGGAGAGGGAUGCGGAAUUCCAGGUGUAGCGGUGAAAUGCGUAGAUAUCUGGAGGAACACCGGUGGCGAAGGCGGCAUCCUGGACCAAUAUUGACGCUGAGGAGCGAAAGCCAGGGGAGCAAACGGG
rnacentral:rRNA from 1 species